CCUACGGGUGGCAGCAGUGAGGAAUAUUGGUCAAUGGACGAGACUCUGAACCAGCCAAGUAGCGUGAAGGAUGACUGCCCUAUGGGUUGUAAACUUCUUUUAUAAAGGAAUAAAACGAGGCACGUGUGCCUUUUUGCAUGUACUUUAUGAAUAAGGAACGGCUAAUUCCGUGCCAGCAGCCGCGGUAAUACGGAGGUUCCGGGCGUUAUCCGGAUUUAUUGGGUUUAAAGGGAGCGUAGAUGGGUUGUUAAGUCAGUUGUGAAAGUUCGCGGCUCAACCGUGAAAUUGCAGUGGAUACUGGCAGGCUUGAGUACAGUUGAGGUAGGCGGAAUUCGUGGUGUAGCGGUGAAAUGCUUAGAUAUCACGAAGAACCCCGAUUGCGAAGGCAGCUUACUAAACUGUGACUGACAUUGAUGCUCGAAGGUGUGGGUAUCAAACAGGAUUAGAUACCCCGGUAGUC
rnacentral:rRNA from 1 species